GAUGAACGCUGGCGGCGUGCCUAACACAUGCAAGUCGAGCGAACGGACGAGAAGCUUGCCUUCCUGACGUUAGCGGCGGACGGGGGAGUAACACGUGGAUAACCUACUCAAAAAACGGGGGAAACUCCGGCAAACGGUUGCCAAAUCCGGCAAAAAUUUUGAACAGGAAGGUUGAAAAGCUAAGAAUAGGCUUAGCGCUAUUUGAGCGGCCCACGCUGGAUUAGCUAGUUGGUGAGGUAAAGGCGCACCAAGGCGAAGAUGUGUAGCCGACCUGAGAGGAUGAUCGGCCACACUGGAACUGAGACACGGUCCAGACUCCUACGGGAGGCAGCAGUAGGGAAUCUUGCGCAAUGGGCGAAAGCCUGACGGAGCAACGCCGCGUGAAUGAUGAAGGUCUUAGGAUCGUAAAACUCUGUUAUUAGGGAAGAACAGUUAUGUAAGUAACAGGGCACAUAUUGACGGUACCUAAUGAAAAAGCAACGGCUAACUACGUG
rnacentral:rRNA from 1 species